AUUGAACGCUGGCGGCAGGCCUAACACAUGCAAGUCGAGCGGCAGCGGGAAGGUAGCUUGCUACUUUUGCCGGCGAGCGGCGGACGGGUGAGUAAUGCCUGGGGAUCUGCCCAGUCGAGGGGGAUAACUACUGGAAACGGUAGCUAAUACCGCAUACGCCCUACGGGGGAAAGCAGGGGACCUUCGGGGCUUGCGCGAUUGGGUGGGCCCGGGUGGGAUUAGCUAGUUGGUGAGGUAAUGGCUCCCCAAGGCGACGAUCCCUGGCUGGUCUGGGAGGAUGAUCAGCCACACUGGAACUGAGACACGGUCCAGACUCCUACGGGAGGCAGCAGUGGGGAAUAUUGCACAAUGGGGGAAACCCUGAUGCAGCCAUGCCGCGUGUGUGAAGAAGGCCUUCGGGUUGUAAAGCACUUUCAGCGAGGAGGAAAGGUUGGUAGCUAAUAACUGCCAGCUGUGACGUUACUCGCAGAAGAAGCACCGGCUAACUCCGUGCCAGCCGCCGCCGUAACAC
rnacentral:rRNA from 1 species